rnacentral:rRNA from 1 species
AGAGUUUGAUCUUGGCUCAGGACGAACGCUGGCGGCGUGCCUAAUACAUGCAAGUCGAGCGCAGGAAGCUAGAUGACCCCUUCGGGGUGAUUCUAGUGGAAUGAGCGGCGGACGGGUGAGUAACACGUGGGCAACCUGCCUGUAAGACUGGGAUAACUCCGGGAAACCGGGGCUAAUACCGGAUAGUAUUUUCUUUCUCCUGAUUGAAAAUGGAAAGACGGUUUCGGCUGUCACUUACAGAUGGGCCCGCGGUGCAUUAGCUAGUUGGUGGGGUAAUGGCCCACCAAGGCGACGAUGCAUAGCCGACCUGAGAGGGUGAUCGGCCACACUGGGACUGAGACACGGCCCAGACUCCUACGGGAGGCAGCAGUAGGGAAUCUUCCGCAAUGGACGAAAGUCUGACGGAGCAACGCCGCGUGAGCGAUGAAGGCCUUCGGGUCGUAAAGCUCUGUUGUCAGGGAAGAACAAGUACGAGAGUAACUGCUCGUACCUUGACGGUACCUGACCAGAAAGCCCCGGCUAACUACGUGCCAGCAGCCGCGGUAAUACGUAGGGGGCAAGCGUUGUCCGGAAUUAUUGGGCGUAAAGGGCGUGUAGGCGGUUUCUUAAGUCUGAUGUGAAAGCCCACAGCUUAACUGUGGAGGGUCAUUGGAAACUGGGGAACUUGAGUGCAGAAGAGGAGAGUGGAAUUCCACGUGUAGCGGUGAAAUGCGUAGAUAUGUGGAGGAACACCAGUGGCGAAGGCGACUCUCUGGUCUGUAACUGACGCUGAGGCGCGAAAGCGUGGGGAGCAAACAGGAUUAGAUACCCUGGUAGUCCACGCCGUAAACGAUGAGUGCUAGGUGUUAGGGGGUUUCCGCCCCUUAGUGCUGAAGUUAANUAUAUAUUCUGAACCUUGAAAACUAGAUAAGAAACAACAUGCCAAAACAUCAAACUUUAAAGCAAUGACAAUUUAUUGUCGUUUAUUUUUUUUUGCAUCAUGCGUUUAAUUAGUUAAGUGAAGAAGGGCGCACGGUGGAUGCCUUGGCACUAGGAGCCGAUGAAGGACGGGACUAACACCGAUAUGCUUCG